GCCAGGCAGAGACGCUCGGAGACGCUCCUCACUUCCUUUGAAGAUUCUCCCCUCCUGGAAUAUGAUGAAGGGGUUCCAAAGGCCAGGAACACAAAAACUCGGAGAGCAAUCCAUGGAAAGUGAUGCCAUGAGGUCCCAGCCUUGACUCUUCUGUAACUUAAAAUGGCUGUUGAAAUGACAGUUGGAAAUAUGGGGAGCUCUGGCAGAAAGAAUGUUCUGGCCUGUGUGCAAUGACUCUGUUUUCUCUGCCAACGGAUAAAGCUAAAAUCUGCUUUCUUGGAAAC